rnacentral:rRNA from 1 species
UGUGCAGCAGUCGGGAAUAUUGGUUAAUGUGCGAAAGCGCGAACCAGCAACGCCGCGUGCACGAUGAAGGCCUUCGGGUUGUAAAGUGCUUUUUGAGGGGAUGAGGAAGGACAGUACCCUCAGAAUAAGUCUCGGCUAACUACGUGCCAGCAGCCGCGGUAACACGUAGGAGACGAGCGUUAUCCGGAUUUACUGGGCGUAAAGCGCGUGCAGGCGGUUCAGCAAGUUGGAUGUGAAAGCUCCCGGCUUAACUGGGAGAGGUCGUUCAAAACUACUGGACUUGAGAGUGGUAGAGGGAGGUGGAAUUCCGGGUGUAGUGGUGAAAUGCGUAGAUAUCCGGAGGAACACCAGUGGCGAAAGCGGCCUCCUGGACCAUUUCUGACGCUCAGACGCGAAAGCUAGGGUAGCGAACGGGAUUAGAUACCCUGGUAGUCC